rnacentral:rRNA from 1 species
AGAGUUUGAUCCUGGCUCAGGAUGAACGCUAGCUACAGGCUUAACACAUGCAAGUCGAGGGGUAACGACAGCGAAAGCUUGCUUUUGCUGGGCGACGACCGGCGAAUGGGUGAGUAACGCGUAUCCAACCUGCCGCAAAGUAGGGCACAGCCUUGCGAAAGUAAGAUUAAUGCCCUAUGUGCUGUGAUGAGGACAUCUGAAUUGCAGUAAAGGUUCACCGCUUUGCGAUGGGGAUGCGUCUGAUUAGGUUGUUGGCGGGGUAACGGCCCACCAAGCCCGCGAUCAGUAGGGGUUCUGAGAGGAAGGUCCCCCACAUUGGAACUGAGACACGGUCCAAACUCCUACGGGAGGCAGCAGUGAGGAAUAUUGGUCAAUGGGCGAGAGCUGAACCAGCCAAGUAGCGUGCGGGACGAAGGCCCUAUGGGUUGUAAACCGCUUUUACGGGGGGAUAAAGUGAGUGACGUGUCAUUCAUUGCAGGUACCCCGCGAAUAAGGACCGGCUAAUUCCGUGCCAGCAGCCGCGGUAAUACGGAAGGUCCGGGCGUUAUCCGGAUUUAUUGGGUUUAAAGGGAGCACAGGCCGGCUGUCAAGCGUGUUGUGAAAUGUAGGUGCUCAACGCCUGACUUGCAGCGCGAACUGACGGUCUUGAGUGCGCGCAACGUUGGCGGAAUUUGUCGUGUAGCGGUGAAUGCUUAGAUAUGACGAAGAACUCCGAUUGCGAAGGCAGCUGACGGGAGCGUUACUGACGCUUAAGCUCGAAAGCGCGGGUAUCGAACAGGAUUAGAUACCCUGGUAGUCCGCGCGGUAAACGAUGGAUGCCCGCUGUUUGCGUCUAACGUAAGCGGCCAAGUGAAAACGUUAAGCAUCCCACCUGGGGAGUACGCCGGCAACGGUGAAACUCAAAGGAAUUGACGGGGGCCCGCACAAGCGGAGGAACAUGUGGUUUAAUUCGAUGAUACGCGAGGAACCUUACCCGGGCUUGAAUUGCUGAGGAAAGAUCCAGAGAUGGUGAUGCUUCGGGGCCUCAGUGAAGGUGCUGCAUGGUUGUCGUCAGCUCGUGCCGUGAGGUGUCGGCUUAAGUGCCAUAACGAGCGCAACCCCUCUCUUCAGUUGCCAUCAGGCUAUGCUGGGCACUCUGGAGACACUGCCACCGCAAGGUGUGAGGAAGGUGGGGAUGACGUCAAAUCAGCACGGCCCUUACGUCCGGGGCUACACACGUGUUACAAUGGGGGGCACAGAGAGCGGGGUGCGCGCAAGCUUGCCCAAAUCCUUAAAUCCCCCCACAGUUCGGACUGGGGUCUGCAACCCGACCCCACGAAGCUGGAUUCGCUAGUAAUCGCGCAUCAGCCAUGGCGCGGUGAAUACGUUCCCGGGCCUUGUACACACCGCCCGUCAAGCCAUGAAAGCCGGGGGUGCCUGAAGUCCGUGACCGCAAGGGACGGCCUAGGGCAAAACUGG